AGAGUUUGAUCCUGGCUCAGGAUGAACGCUGACAGAAUGCUUAACACAUGCAAGUCUACUUGAAUUUGGGUUUUUAACUUAGGUUUGGGUGGCGGACGGGUGAGUAACGCGUAAAGAACUUGCCUCACAGCUAGGGACAACAUUUAGAAAUGAAUGCUAAUACCUAAUAUUAUGAUAAUAGGGCAUCCUAUAAUUAUGAAAGCUAUAUGCGCUGUGAGAGAGCUUUGCGUCCCAUUAGCUAGUUGGAGAGGUAACGGCUCACCAAGGCGAUGAUGGGUAGCCGGCCUGAGAGGGUGAUCGGCCACAAGGGGACUGAGACACGGCCCUUACUCCUACGGGAGGCAGCAGUGGGGAAUAUUGGACAAUGGACCGAGAGUCUGAUCCAGCAAUUCUGUGUGCACGAUGAAGUUUUUCGGAAUGUAAAGUGCUUUCAGUUGGGAAGAAAGAAAUGACGGUACCAACAGAAGAAGUGACGGCUAAAUACGUGCCAGCAGCCGCGGUAAUACGUAUGUCACGAGCGUUAUCCGGAUUUAUUGGGCGUAAAGCGCGUCUAGGUGGUUAUAUAAGUCUGAUGUGAAAAUGCAGGGCUCAACUCUGUAUUGCGUUGGAAACUGUAUAACUAGAGUACUGGAGAGGUAAGCGGAACUACAAGUGUAGAGGUGAAAUUCGUAGAUAUUUGUAGGAAUGCCGAUGGGGAAGCCAGCUUACUGGACAGAUACUGACGCUGAAGCGCGAAAGCGUGGGUAGCAAACAGGAUUAGAUACCCUGGUAGUCCACGCUGUAAACGAUGAUUACUAGGUGUUGGGGGUCGAACCUCAGCGCCCAAGCAAACGCGAUAAGUAAUCCGCCUGGGGAGUACGUACGCAAGUAUGAAACUCAAAGGAAUUGACGGGGACCCGCACAAGCGGUGGAGCAUGUGGUUUAA
rnacentral:rRNA from 1 species